UACGGGGGGGGCAAGCGUUGUUCGGAAUUACUGGGCGUAAAGGGCUCGUAGGCGGCCAACUAAGUCGGAUGUGAAAUCCCCAGGCUCAACCUGGGAACUGCAUCCGAUACUGGAUGGCUUGAAUUCGGGAGAGGGAUGCAGAAUUCCAGGAGUAGCGGUGAAAUGCGUAGAGAUGUGGCGGAACACCGGUGGCGAAGGCGGCAUCCUGGACCGGCAUUGACGCUGAGGAGCGAAAGCCAGGGGAGCAAACGGG
rnacentral:rRNA from 1 species